UGAGAACCUGAGACAAGUGCCCACUGUUUU
rnacentral:piRNA from 1 species